ensembl:lncRNA
GGUGGAUCAUGGAAUGUGGAUCAGCUGUGUAGGAAUGGAGCAGGAUGAACGGCCACGCCUCCUCACCUGCUUCCUCUAGACACGCCCCUUUUCUCUUCUGGUUGAUGCUUCUAGAAGACAAAGAGUCACAAGGUCAGUUGGUAGUUUAACUGUUAUCCUGCAUUAGAAUUAGGUCACAUUACAAUAUUCUCUUGGCGUUUUGAGAGGGAGAACCAAUCCAGCCCAGUCUGCUCAUUGCUGAAUGCUCACUUCCUAUAGUUUGAAUUCCUCCACUAUUGCUGUAGACGACAAAAUAUACAUAGACGCCGCAUUGGCUUCUGGUCGCGAGAAAUACGCCGCCAUCUUGGAGCGGUCGAAGAUGCAGGACGCCACAGCACUGUGCUGCUUAUUUCUGCGCUAAUCGGCGGAGCAUCGCCAGCAGGGCUCAGGGGGGAAAACCUUUCACAAUUGGAGAAGGGCAGGUCUACCUCCACCUCCAGAAGAGCUGAUGAAUGUCUGUCCGGCCUCUCAGGAUUCCCAAGAAAUGGCAACCUCACACCCACAGCCUCAGCCUAAUGAUGUGCUGAGAGCUGCAGAGAGGGUGAUCCAACAACACAAGCUCCUGAGGCGUCGACAGUCACACACAUCGUCCGACAGGAGAUUGGAACGGAUGAUGGUUUUUUGCUUGGGGAACACAUGAAGACACAGUUUGGCAUCGACAACCAUCACUCAGACUUGUUGUCAUUGGUUGUCAAGAAGCUCUGCAAGACAGUCCUAUUCCAGGGGUUUGUGUGUGUGUGUGUGUGUGUGUGUGUGUGUGUGUGUGUGUGUGUGCGCGUGCGCGCGUGUGUGUGUGCUUGCAAAUAUUCAAUUCAUUUUAUUUCUAAUUCUAUAUUGUUUUUUAGCGUAUAAAAUGUCUGACUUUACUGCUACUAUCAAAAUUAUAGUGUGUGAUUUUCAAAAUACCUAUCAUAGUCUACAUCAUAUAUCAGAAUAUAACAUUACUGUUAAGUCCACAAUGAAUAUUAAAAUACGCCGAACUAUGUGCCCUGUGUCAUAGCUGCAUGUAUGACCUUUGCAGCAAAAAAACCCAGGUGAA